CCCUGAGAAAACCAUAAUUCAAGAAGAGUCAUGUACCAAAAUGUUCAUUGCAGCUCUAUUUACAAUAGCCAGGAGAUGGAAACAACCUAAGUGUCCAUCAUCGGAUGAAUGGAUAAAGAAGAUGUGGCACAUAUAUACAAUGGAAUAUUACUCAGCCAUAAAAAGAAAUGAAAUUGAGCUAUUUGUAAUGAGAUGGAUAGACCUAGAGUCUGUCAUACAGAGUGAAGUAAGUCAGAAAGAAAAAGACAAAUACUGUAUGCUAACACAUGUAUAUGGAAUUUAAGAAAAAAAAUGUCAUGGAGAACCUAGGGGUAAGACAGGAAUAAAGACACAGACCUACUGGAGAACAGACUUGAGGAUAUGGGGAGGGGGAAGGGUGAGCUGUGACAGGGCAAGAGAGAGUCAUGGACAUAUACACACUAACAAACAUAAGGUAGAUAGCUAGUGGGAAGCAGCCACAUGGCACAGGGAUAUCGGCUCGGUGCUUUGUGACCACCUGGAGGGGUGGGAUAGGGAGGGUGGGAGGGAGGGAGACACAAGAGGGAAGAGAUAUGGGAACAUAUGUAUAUGUAUAACUGAUUCACUUUGUUAUAAAGCAGAAACUAACACACCAUUGUAAAGCAAUUGUACCCCAAUAAAGAUGUUAAAAAAAAAAAAGA